AUGAAGAAUAGGGGUGUAGGGUCUGAUAAUGAUAGCGAUAGUGUGUCGAAAUCUGCUCGGUGGUCAAACAUUAUUAGUUUGAAAAAGAAAGUAAGAGAAGACGCUUUCGUUAAUAAUUGCAGGUUCGAAAUUGGUUGUGGUUUUUACACUUCUUUUUGGAACUCGAGGUGGUUGGUCGAAGGCAGAUUGAAGGAUUUGUUACCGCUGUUAUUUUCUAUUUCGUGUCUGCAGUCUGUCUCAACAGCGGGAAUGGGCGGAUGGUUGGAUGGGGUCUGGUAG